rnacentral:lncRNA from 10 species
GAAAACUCCCUCUUACCCCUUUCCAGUCAGUCCUCAACCCCAACCCCCAGAGGUAACCACUAUUUUUUUUUUCUCAUUAUAGAUUAGUUUUUCCUGUUUCUGAACUUCAUAUGAAUAGAAUCAUAUAGGAUGCACUCUUUUGAUCUGGCUUAUUGCAGCAUGAUUUGAGUUUCACCCAAGUUGUUCCAUGUAUCAGUGGUGGGACUCAAGACUGGCCUUGAAGAGGCUAGAAAAGCAAUGACUAAGGGUCAGGACAAGAACAAAUACAUAUUCCAGGCAGAGGGAAAGCCAUGAAGAAACUUCAUCUCCAGAUUCUAAAACCCAGGACAAGCCCUUAGCAAGGCUUUGAGGAAGCAAGUGAACAUCUUGGGCAAUCCCAACAAGGAAGUAACAUGGCCUCUAUGGGGUGAGGGUAGCUUCCAGCUGACAGCCAGCAAGAAACAGAAGACCUCAAUCUUAUAGAUGCAAAGACCUGAAUUAUGCCUAUAAUGUGAGUGAGCUUAGAAGUUAUUUUUUCCCCCAGUCAAGCAUCUGAUGAGACCACAGCCCUGGCUGGCAUCUUGUACAGUCUUGUGAAACCUUAAGAACAGGAUCCAGCUAAACCAUAGCCAG